GACGAACGCUGGCGGCGUGCCUAAUACAUGCAAGUAGAACGCUGAAGGAGGAGCGUGCUUCUCUGGAUGAGUUGCGAACGGGUGAGUAACGCGUAGGUAACCUGCCUGGGAGCGGGGGAUAACUAUUGGAAACGAUAGCUAAUACCGCAUAAUAGUAGAUGUUGCAUGACAUUUGCUUAAAAGGUGCAAUUGCAUCACUACCAGAUGGACCUGCGUUGUAUUAGCUAGUUGGUGAGGUAACGGCUCACCAAGGCGACGAUACAUAGCCGACCUGAGAGGGGGGUCGGCCACACUGGGACUGAGACACGGCCCAGGCUCCUACGGGAGGCAGCAGUAGGGAAUCCUCGGCAAUGGGCGGAAGUCUGACCGAGCAACGCCGCGUGAGUGAAGGAGGUUUUCGGAUCGUAAGGCUCUGUUGUAAGAGAAGAACGAGUGUGAGAGUGGAAAGUUCACACUGUGACGGUAUCUUACCAGAAAGGGACGGCUAACUACGUG
rnacentral:rRNA from 1 species